GUUGCUGGCCCUCAUAGGGGGCAUGUGCACGCUCUGUUUACACAUCCACUCACACCUGUGCACCCUCUGUAGUUCUAUGGUCUGGGGGACCCUGAUCUUCCUUCUGUGGUUCUACGUCUUUACACACACACUGUAAUAAAGUUUUAUGGAAUGUACAUCGCGUCUAACGCAAUACAAUACAACUUUCAGCAACGGAUCUCUUGGCUCUCGCAUCGAUGAAGAACGCAGCGAAAUGCGAUAAGUAAUGUGAAUUGCAGAAUUCAGUGAAUCAUCGAAUCUUUGAACGCACCUUGCGCCCCUUGGCUAUUCCGAGGGGCAUGCCUGUUUGAGUAUCAUGAACACCUCAACUCUCAUGGUUUGCCAUGAUGAGUUGGACUCUGGGGGUUUUGCUGGCCUGUGGUCGGCUCCUCUCAAAUUAAUCAGCCUCCCAGUGUUUGGUGGCAUCACGGGUGUGAUAAAUAUCUACGCUCGCUGUUGUCUGCCAGGUAACCUUUGGUCACAAAGGUUUGCUGGAGCUCACAGAUGUCUCUCCUCAGCGAGGACAGCUUUUUUAACGUUCGAUCUCAA
rnacentral:rRNA from 1 species